AUGACGGAAUUCAACUUUAUUGAAAAAAAGCUAAUAAUCUUCUUACAUAAUCUUUGUAGAAAAUCAACAUAUAAAAUUAAUAACAUGUAUAUUAACAAUUUAUUUUUUGGGCAAAUCACAAAAACACUAAACCAUUAUGUGUACAAAGUUUUUGGUUUUUGCAGAAGAAUUCAAGAAGAAGGAAGAACAGAUUGA